rnacentral:rRNA from 1 species
CAAUAAGCGGAGGAAAAGAAACCAACAGGGAUUACCUCAGUAACGGCGAAGUGAAAGCGGUAAAAGCUCAAAUUUGAAAUCUGGCUCUUUCAGGGUCCGAAUUGUAAUUUGUAGAAGAKGCUUCGGGUGUGGUUCCGGUCUAAGUUCCUUGGAACAGGACGUCAUAGAGGGUGAGAAUCCCGUAUGUGACUGGAUACCUAUGCUCAUGUGAAGCUCUUUCGACGAAGUCGAGUUGUUUGGGAAUGCAGCUCAAAAUGGGAGGUAUAUUUCUUCUAAAGCUAAAUAUUGGCCAGAGACCGAUAGCGCACAAGUAGAGUGAUCGAAAGAUGAAAAGCACUUUGGAAAGAGAGUUAAACAGUACGUGAAAUUGUUGAAAGGGAAGCGCUUGCAAUCAGACUUGCGCGUGGUGUUCAUCAGGGUCUCGUGCCCUGUGUACUUCAUCACGUUCAGGCCAGCAUCAGUUUGAGUGGUUAGAUAAAGGCUUGGAGAAUGUGGCCCUCUUCGGGGGGUGUUAUAGCUCCAGGUGCAAUGUAGCCUACUUGGACUGAGGACCGCGCUUCGGCUAGGAUGCUGGCGUAAUGGUUGUAAGCGACCCGUCUUGAAACACGGACCAAGGAGUGUACCUAAUAUGCGAGUGUUUGGGUGUUAAACCCAUACGCGUAAUGAAAGUGAACGCUGGUGAGAACCCUUAAGGGUGCAUCAUCGACCGAUCUUGAUGUCUUCGGAUGGAUUUGAGUAAGAGCAUAUUGGGUGCGACCCGAAAGAUGGUGAUCUAUACGUGAAUAGGGUGAAGCCAGAGGAAACUCUGGUGGAGGCUCGCAGCGGUUUCUGACGUGCAAAUCGAUUCGUUCAAAAUUUUGCGKAAKAAGGGGCGAAAGACUAAUCGAACCAUCUAGUAGCUGGUCUGC